CCAAUGCAAAGUAGAAUGGGAAAGACUUGGUGCUAAAGCAACGGCAACUCCAGGAAAAUCAUGUGCUUGCUGCUGCUAAUAAAAUGCAGAUCCAAUUACUGUCCGUCAGCUGUGCGGAAAUACGAGUAUCUCCAGUGGAGUCCAUACUCGAUGGUAGGCUUGAUGGAUAUUGCAAGUGUGCUUGGACUGGUUUCUUGCGGGAGGCACCCUCAAAUCGAUUCUUGGAAGCACAAAUGCAGUAAAUUGGUAGCUGCUUGGACCAUCUGCUUCUUGCAGUACCAGGUUAAAACGAAUUUAUGGUUCUUGUGUAACCAUCUCACUGAAAUGAGGGAACGUGAGAGGUGUUUGUGGUCUCAGUAGACUUCUCACUUGGCACCCAAUUAAUAUUCUUGCACUGCUUUCGCUUCUUCAUUUACAUGUACUCUGGAGAUUUCUUUAUUAUUACAGUUUUGAAAUAUAUUGCUGAAAUUUAUGGGCCUAGGCCAAGUGACGAUUGCUCUUGACAAAUGAUUAUAUUUCUUGCACUACAAUCUGUUAAUGCUUUUUUUCGUAGUUGGGAUUCGUGCUGCCAUUAUUUCAUAUAUGCUUUACCUCUUUCGUAAUGGGUGUUUUACGGAUUUCACUAAUUUUAUGUAAGCAAUAUUUCUUGAACAGUUUUACUUAGCUUGCUUUGUUGUUGUGUAUGGCGGGCGACGACCAGACCAGGCAAGUCCAUCCCCUCUCCUAUCCUCUUUCAUCUCAGUAUUUGUUCCUCUGUGCAUUGUCGGUGCGGCAGUGUAUACUCGAUACCGUGUGGCAGUGGCAUCUGGGCGUACAACGCCGACAUCUUGGCGUGGUGGGUGCGAGGAAGCACGCUGUUGGCUGCAAAGCUAGCUUAAUUUAGCAAGCUAUCCAGAUCGAUUGGAUACUUUUUUUUCUUUGGUAGCACGCUAUGCACAUGUCUUUGAAAUUCUUCUUCUCUCUCUCAGUGCUAGAAAAUUGCAGAACAGAUAAGCCAUGGCUGAGAUGUAUCUCACAGAGAAAAGCUGAAGAUGGAACCAUCUAUUUUGGGUGAUUAGUCAUUGUCGGCUUUCAGUUUCAGCUCCUUUUUUUUUGAAAUGGGGCAGCCCAGCGUCUGCAUCAAUUUCAGCUCAUGUGUCUCCCGUCUCGUCAUCCACAAAAUCAUGGAAGUUGGAAAGAACCUUCAGCUUAUGUAGAAGUAGACAUGAAAGUGUGAAGACCUCAAAUAAUACUAUGGGAGCAUAUGAUAACACUCUUAACAACAUGACAUCAGUAAUGAACCAACUUUAUUCAGAUUUCCAAUAUAUCUUGUUAUCUUUCUAUGUUUGGGAGUCGAAUAAUGUCUCCAUAUUAAUUGCAACUUACUUUCCCAUUCUGUUUUGCUCGCCAUUGUUGUAUGCUUAGGACUUGUGAGCUCUCUGAUUGGUGAUUUAUGAAAUCCUCUAAAGAUCAAUAUUACCUGGAGUAUGUUGUUCUUUGAGUUGCCUCACACCAGUUACUCCCUCCGACCUCUACGGCCUGCUGCCACGCCACCGUCUGCAGAUCCUGCAGAAAGUCCAUGGCAUCCUAUCUCUACGGCACGGGCUGCCGCCACACCACCAUCUGCGGCUCCUGCGGUAAGGCCAUGGCGCACGCCCUGCUCCGCCUCGGUCACCAAUUCCUUUUGACGCCUCCUAAUCGACGGUGGAGGCGCCGACGACGAAGAAAGCAGCCGGCCGCCGCAGCCACGGUCGCGGAUGGCUUCGGGUAUUUCUACAUCUUCGGCUUCGGCUUCAGAGUUGGAGCUGGAGGGGAAGAUGCAAGUAAUGGGAAAUCUGGAGUUGGCGAUCGACAAAUAGAAGCUAAGCCUGAUACGCUGACAGUUGAUACUGGUGCUGGGGUUCCAUUCCAUCAAAUAUUUUAGUCAGUUUUCAAGUUCUUUGUAUAUGACCAGAUAUACAGAAAGCAUGCUCAACAACAAGGUAGAGCUGCAAAUAUCUCUUCAAAGAAUAAUUAUGUCCUUACGAAGAAGUUAUCGACCAUUCGAGACUUUGAACCCACUCAGAAGAUAUCUGCAUGAUUCCUCUUAAGAAGCUGAAGAGUUUGCCUUCUGGAUUUACUUUGAUGACAGUUGCAUUUUUGGUGUAGAAUUUAUCAAGGUUAUCACUGUGAAAACAACAGAUACUACUUCAGAAAACCUGUAUAUUCAGCAGAGAAACACCUUUGAUGACCAUGGAGUGUAUACUUGGAUUAUUGAAGGCUUCACCACACCUCAGACCCCAUGCAACUCUCCAACAUUUGUAACUGGCGGAUACAAAUGGUAUCUAAGUAUCAAGACAUCUAACAUGGAUGUGGAUGGCAGCACGAAUUUUCUCUCUCUGUUCCUGCAUCUGUAAGAUAUGCUCCCCAGAAAUCAUGGAAUACUGGUAGAGGUCAGCUUUUCUCUCAUGGACCAAGCAAAUGGCAACCACAGGGAGUUCAGAGGAAUUGGCAGGGCAUGUGGAUGGAGCAAACCUUCCAAGAUGCUCGGUUUAGGUGCGACUCUCCAUCGUUUCCUGCGGCCGCAGCAGCGACGGCAAGCGGCUCUCCUCCUUGGAGCCUCAGGUGAGGUGACCCCGCGGCGAGCGGAGCAGCGAUGGCGGGAGGGAGCUGCGGACAGCGCCACAGUGGCGGGGCGAUGAGGGGCGGCAACGAAGCUACUUGAUGCGGGGGACGGCCGGCGGGGGAACACGCCUUCUCUGCUCCUGGAGGCUCCGCUUCUGCCCCGCAUCCCCUGUUCCUGGAGGCCCCGACUCCUAUGCUCCUAUGUUUCGGACGGCUGGCGGGGAUGCGGGCUCACCGUUGACAUCGAGGGCGCGAGCCCAGCUCCGGAGCGGGACGGGGACGGAGCUCCGGCGCGGGACGGGGACAUCGGGAUCUUGAAUUUAUAUGUACAAGUGAUAUUUACUAGCUGAAUUUCUCAUCACAUGAUCGAUCCUCACAUGUCAAAAACAAUUUCUUUACUUUUUCCAUACAAGUAGCAGACUAAAAUUUGACGAGUCUUGCUCGAAGCAUUUGUUGUUGUAUGGUUUUUUAUAUGGUUUAAGUUAAACGAUGUGACAGCUUACAAACAGUUGGUGAGCACUGCUGGUUGUUAAGAUUAUUUGAGAGUUGGAGGAUAUGCUUCUUCAGGUAA